rnacentral:rRNA from 1 species
GUGACGCAGUAGGGUAGUGACGCGGACUGAUGGAUGUCCGUCUAAGCAGUGAGGCUGAUGUGUAGGCAAAUCCGCACAUCGUAAGGCUGGGCUGUGAUGGGGAGCGAAAAUUAUAGUAGCGAAGGUCAUGAUCUCAGACUGCCAAGAAAAGCCUCUAGCCAGGAGAAGGUGCCCGUACCGCAAACCGACACAGGUAGGCGAGAAGAGAAUUCUAAGGCGCGCGGAAGAACUCUCGUUAAGGAACUCGGCAAAAUGACCCCGUAACUUCGGGAGAAGGGGUGCCUCGGUAGGGUGAAUAGCCCGAGGGGGCCGCAGUGAAAAGGCCCAAGCGACUGUUUAGCAAAAACACAGGUCUGUGCGAAGCCGCAAGGCGAAGUAUACGGGCUGACGCCUGCCCGGUGCUGGAAGGUUAAGGGGAGUGGUAAGCCUUCGGGCGAAGCUAUGAACCGAAGCCCCAGUAAACGGCGGCCGUAACUAUAACGGUCCUAAGGUAGCGAAAUUCCUUGUCAGGUAAAUUCUGACCCGCACGAAUGGCGUAACGACUUGGGCGCUGUCUCAACGAGAGAUCCGGUGAAAUUUUAAUACCUGUGAAGAUGCAGGUUACCCGCGACAAGACGGAAAGACCCCAUGGAGCUUUACUGCAGCUUGAUAUUGAAUUUGGGUACGAUCUGUACAGGAUAGGUGGGAGCCGUAGAACUUUGAGCGCCAGCUUGAGGGGAGGCAUCCUUGGGAUACCACCCUGAUCGUAUCUAGGUUCUAACUUGGUACCGUGAUCCGGUACGAGGACAGUGU